GGCUGUGUGAGAUCUGUCUUUCUGCUGGUGGCCGUCCUGCAGAACGCACGCCUGGUCAACAUCCAUGUCAGGCGGGUUUGAAAACAAAAGAAAUACAUGGCAUCAGUUAAGAGAAAGAAAUGUGCCCUGUUGAAGUGUCCUACCAGUACAGCAAUGACAAGAACCAGAAACUAUGGACACAGCAGUUGGGUAACACAUGGGAGGAGAGAAGAUGCUGGAAGUGAGAGUCUUGUGAAAAUGCCGUCUGAACAGCCAUGUCCUAUGGGACAGGGAGUCGUUGGGAUCAGAACCAGGUAAAUGAACAAGCUCCAUUGCUGGCCAGUCUUGAGCCUUUGGAGUGGGAGUGCUGACUCCAAGAUACAAAAUACCAGAGAACUCCUAAACAUAGAAAGUAUCAAAUAGUGAGAACUCCCACAAAGGAAACCACUUGAAUACAAGACCCUGCAUCACCCAACUGCCAGUAGUACCCUGUGCCAGCCACCUCAUCCAAACAACAAACAAGACAAAAAUACAAACCCAAUUAUUGACAGAGAGGAUUACCACCUCACUCAGCCCU